GGUCCUGUGGUCUAGUGGUAUGAUUCUCGCUUAGGGAGCGCGUUUAACGUGCUAAACUGAGCACUAUUGCGAGAGGCCCCGCGUUCGAGUCGCGGCAGGACCC